ensembl:lncRNA LNCRNA-IUR lncRNA imatinib upregulated
AACUUUAGCUGUAAAGAAGACUGCAGUUAUGUAGUACUUUGUAUCCAGGGAUCUCAAAGAACUUUACGCAUCAUUUAUUGUGAACCUUGUUUUGCAAAGAUUUCAGUUACUUGAGGCUUGGGAGGCGGAUAGGGGAUAAAUGUCUGAGUUAUAUAUAUAUUUACGCAAGUAAUCGAGUUUGAGGGGAGAGACACAAAACCUCUGGUUUAGCGGUUUCCUCUUGUUUGUGAAGCACCUUCUAGCAGUUAUCUUAGAGAUGUAAGUUCAUUUACUUGUCCAGCACUAAAAGGCCAAAGGGGCUUGUUUUCUCACCCAAAAGACCUUCCUGAGGCAGCUGUUCGGAUACAUGCAGAGCACAGCGCCCUGCUCAGAAAGGAAGGUUCAGAGAACAAAUUGUCGUUUAAAACUAUUGGGACAAACCUACCUCUUCUAAAGCUUAAAAUGGUCUCCAGCGUACCAGGAUUUGUGAAGGCCUGAAGUUCGUAGAAUGAAAUCUAUGUGGAGAUGAUUUAAAAGAACGGUUUCACUGGUUUGCAUUUCUUUCUUUUCUUUUUAAUUAAAAAAAAACAACAACCCUGGUUUCCUUAGGGAUUCAGGGUGGUGUUAUGCAAAAUCGGAAAGGUACACUUGGAGGAGCUAGCAAGUUUAGCAUAUCAAAGCUAUUAGACCAAUUUGUGCGGUUAAAACUGCCAUUCUCAUUUCUCAACAGCUGUCUCCUCUCUGUCCCUUUUUAGAGACCAACACAUAUAAACCAAGUCUACACAAGAAACAAAGGUAAUGGAAAUCUGCUAGUAUCAGGUUUAAAUAGAUCAAAAUAGAGUAGAAAACCCCAAAAGGGUCUAAGUUAUGUAGUUGGGUAAAGGUGUUGAUCUAUUUAGCCAGUGUUAGCUAAAGGUCGCUUGAUGCUGUGUAGACAUACAUAACUAAAGAGCAAUGAAUGGUGUGGGGAAGGUGCUUAAGAUUCAGUUAGAAGAAACUGUAAAAGCAAGUAAAUUCAGAAAAGGAGGGAAUUACCACAUGCCCUUCGAUGCAGAGAACCAAGAAAUGCAGGGAGAAAGUCAGCAAGGCACAGUUUUUCUAAGAAACACAUAUGUGUCCCCAUUUAGUGGUAAAUUUCUUGGGCUAUAUUCCUGGCUGGUUCUGGCUUUUAAAGCAGAUUUUAUGUGAGUACAUUUUAAAGGAAAGGAGAAAUUGAAGGAUG